GACGAACGCUGGCGGCGUGCCUAAUACAUGCAAGUCGAGCGGAGGGAAGGAAGCUUGCUUCCUAAAGUCAGCGGCGGACGGGUGAGUAACACGUGGGCAACCUGCCCCUAAGAUCGGGAUAAUCUCGGGAAACCGGAGCUAAUACCGGAUAUGAUUAAUUCCCACAUGAGAGAUAAUGGAAAGACGGUUUCGGCUGUCACUUAGGGAUGGGCCCGGAGCGAAUUAGCGAGUUGGUGAGGUAACGGCUCACCAAGGCGACGAUGCGUAGCAGACAUGAGAGAGUGGUCGGCCACACUGGGACUGAGACACGGCCAAGACUCCUACGGGAGGCAGCAGUAGGGAAUCUUCCGCAAUGGACGAAAGUCUGACGGAGCAACGCCGCGUGAGUGAAGAAGGUUUUCGGAUCGUAAAACUCUGUUGUUAGGGAAGAACAAGUACCAUAGUAACUGAUGGUACCUUGACGGUACCUAACCAGAAAGCCACGGCUAACUACGUGCCAGCCGCCGCGGUAAUAC
rnacentral:rRNA from 1 species